AUGCUUAUAUCAAACAACCUGAGUCUGUCACUGAGUCUGUCUGUCAGCCACUGGGAGCAGUGUGUAGGGACGGUACCUCAGGGUAGCCACUGAUUCGAAUGUAAUGUUCUCCCAGAUACAUCACACGGAACUGAAACGACAGUUUUCUUCGCUAAAAGUCAAACAAAUGACAUCAAAUAAAGAUUUUCUCUAUUUCUGUCCAACAUGCUGUCCACCAUCGCUUUAGCUGUCAUGGUUGCUUGGCAACAGAAACCGUCGCAGGCUAGACCGUCAAUUCACUUCCAGUCUUCUCGGCCUUUUAAUGAUCCGGCUCUGUGACGUCACAGUCACCCUGGUAACUCCCAAAAGCUGAGCGACAACAGGAGAGAUGAGUCCUCCGUCACAGAUGGUUGGUCAGUGAAGAUGGUCGCCUGCAGGUUCAAGCUCAUUGCAUCUCCAACCCACAUCCACUGCCACUGUACUUAAGGGAAGGUAAAGACUUUCUUCUGCACCUACAUUUGGAUCACCUCGAUCCAUGACAGUCAUUCAGGCAGUAAUGCCUGGACUGGAAACAAGCCAUCCUUAAAAUAAUACAACAUACCAGCUUCUGUGUUUGAAUGCAAAACAAAUGUGUUGUUUAAACUAGAGACUGCACUUGUGACUGAACAAUAAAUACAUUUAUUUCGAUUAUAUAAGUAAUGUAAGUACAAAACAGAUGUGUAAAGCCUGAAUGUAGUUUCAGAAUAAUUAAAUCUGAGACUUUGUUUCAUUUACACAUUCUAACAAUGAUGGUAAUAUAAUUGUUUGUUGUUCAGCAGAACAGUGUCCAGUAUGUUGGUUCAUAUACUUCAUUACAUUUGAAAAUAAAAUUUGGGCUGAUUUUAACACCAUUACAAGAAGUGUAGUUAAUUAUUCUUUUUGAAUCAUAUUUGCAUUCAGUGUUAUAUUAAUAUAAAACAUAAUGUGAUUGUAAAAAAAGAAUAAAGUAAGUUAGCACAAAUAGUUUUUUAAUUUAGUAGAACUUGAAAUGUUUGACAGAAAGUAAACAUUUAGUACUGCACAGUCAGAAACAUCAAGUUAUUCUUAGUACUGCAUACUUGCAAUGAAUAAGUUGUCCUAACAUAGUUUUACUAAGUAAGCUUUACUCCAUUUUUUGAGUUCUGGGAACUAAUUGGAUUUUGCAGUGAGACUGUUUUUAUUUGAUAGUGUUUUAUUUUGGGGAGUGCAGACUUGCAGCUUUAACUGUUCAGGACCUGCAGAUAUU
ensembl:lncRNA